rnacentral:rRNA from 1 species
GGUUUCCGUAGUGAACCUGCGGAAGGAUCAAUG